rnacentral:pre_miRNA from 11 species
GACUGCACGCGAUAAUAUUGAUUAUCCCGUGCGGUCGGCUUAAGACACCCGCACGGGAUAAUCGAUUUUCGCGUGCAGGC